CUGAAAGCCCAGUAAGACACCCCUAAGGCACCACGAGAUAUCAAGGAAGAAGAGCUGAGAAAUGGGGAGAGAGAAACCAGAUCCGGUGCUCAAACCCUGCAUACAGGGACCCUACUUAAGUGUUUGCUGCUCUUUUAAAUCUCUCUUCCCUGCCAUGCAAAAGCUCUACCACCAGGCGGCGACAGGGAGUUAUCACAUGUAUGGAAAUGAGGCCACGAGGCCUGGCGGCCGUUCAGCGCCCCCAGACCAUCUCCUUCCCGAGACUUCCAGAGCCUGAACUGCCAAAAACAACCUCCAGCCGUCUGCCGUGCAGAGGAGAUGCUCAGAGGCGUGCCUGGGAG